rnacentral:lncRNA from 1 species
UAGAAGUUCUUUCUACUUCAGUGGGUGCUGGUGCAUUAACAAUGGUUUUGCCAUUACUGGACUCUGAGAGUUGUAAUCUUGAAAUGGAGCAUUUUCUUGACAGAGUAAUCUAUUUAGAACACACAGAAAGGGCUGCUCCUUGCUUAAAACUGGGCCUCAGCUAUGCUUUACUUUGAGUAAAAUCAGUUUAGUUUAGGGAGAGAAAUGCUGCAGUCAAGAAGCGGAGAGCAAGAGGGCGUGUGAUAUCUAUAGCAGUUUCAUUUUUACAGAAAAUGGACAUUGUUCUGAAAAACAAAAGCAGUGCUUGUGGAUUUUGCUGGAUUUCAGUCUUGGAAAGUAUACUUGCUGAUGACUCUGGCCUGCCAGAAACUGUAUUGCUCGUGAGAUGGUGUGUGAGACUGAAUCAUACAACUCUAGCUGGGUGUACGUGGACUUGAAUAGGGAGACUGUUGGCAUGAUGGGCAUGUCGCUUGUUAAUCUGAUGGAGAUAAAAUUUGAGUGAUAAUUAAUCAUCUUCAUUCGUUGCCUCCAAAACCAGUCAGUUUCAUCUUGACCAUGAAAGGAGAAUUAGCUCCUCUUCC